GAUCCCAUGCCGAACUCAGCAGUGAAACCGCUCAGCGCCGAUGGUAGUGUGGGGUCUCCCCAUGCGAGAGUAGGUCAUCGUCAGGC
rnacentral:rRNA from 1 species